rnacentral:rRNA from 1 species
AUUGAACGCUGGCGGCAUGCCUUACACAUGCAAGUCGAACGGCAGCACGGGAGCAAUCCUGGUGGCGAGUGGCGAACGGGUGAGUAAUACAUCGGAACGUGCCCAAUCGUGGGGGAUAACGCAGCGAAAGCUGUGCUAAUACCGCAUACGAUCUACGGAUGAAAGCAGGGGACCGCAAGGCCUUGCGCGAAUGGAGCGGCCGAUGGCAGAUUAGGUAGUUGGUGGGGUAAAGGCUCACCAAGCCAACGAUCUGUAGCUGGUCUGAGAGGACGACCAGCCAAGUGGGGAGUGAAGCAGGCCCGAGACCCCUAGGGGAGGGGGCAGGGGGGAUUUUGGGAAAAGGGGGGGAGGCUGGACCAAGCCGGGCGGCGUGAAGAGUGACGGCUUUGGGUUGGAAAUCUUGUUUUGUGCGAAAAAAACCGGCUUUUUCAAAAAAAGAGGGCAAAGGAGGGAACGGAAAAAAGAAGCCCGGGCUAACUAGGGG